CCUACGGGUGGCAGCAGUGGGGGAUAUUGCACAAUGGAGGGAACUCUGAUGCAGCGACGCCGCGUGAGGGAAGAAGGUUUUCGGAUUGUAAACCUCUGUCUUCGGUGACGAAACGAGACGGUAGCCGAGGAGGAAGCCACGGCUAACUACGUGCCAGCAGCCGCGGUAAUACGGAGGGUGCAAGCGUUGUCCGGAAUCAUUGGGCGUAAAGAGUUCGUAGGCGGCAUGUAAAGUCAGGUGUUAAAGGCGCAGGCUCAACCUGUGUAUGGCACUUGAUACUUGCAAGCUGGAAUGCGGUAGAGGUAAAGGGAAUUCCUGGGGUAGCGGUGAAAUGCUUAGAUAUCAGGAGGAACAUCGGUGGCGUAAGCGCUUUACUGGGCCGUAAUUGACGCUGAGGAACGAAAGCCAGGGUAGCAAAUGGGAUUAGAUACCCCUGUAGGC
rnacentral:rRNA from 1 species